rnacentral:rRNA from 1 species
AAGCGUUAAUCGGAAUUACUGGGCGUAAAGCGCACGCAGGCGGUCUGUUAAGUCAGAUGUGAAAUCCCCGGGCUUAACCUGGGAACUGCAUUUGAAACUGGCAGGCUUGAGUCUUGUAGAGGGGGGUAGAAUUCCAGGUGUAGCGGUGAAAUGCGUAGAGAUCUGGAGGAAUACCGGUGGCGAAGGCGGCCCCCUGGACAAAGACUGACGCUCAGGUGCGAAAGCGUGGGGAGCAAACAGGAUUAGAUACCCUGGUAGUCCACGCCGUAAACGAUGUCGACUUGGAGGUUGUUCCCUUGAGGAGUGGCUUCCGGAGCUAACGCGUUAAGUCGACCGCCUGGGGAGUACGGCCGCAAGGUUAAAACUCAAA